CGGCGAGUGAAGCGGCAACAGCUCAAAUUUGAAAUCUGGCCUCGGCCCGAGUUGUAAUUUGCAGAGGAUGCUUCUGGCGCGGUGCCUUCCGAGUUCCCUGGAACGGGACGCCACAGAGGGUGAGAGCCCCGUAUGGUCGGACACCAAGCCUGUGUGAAGCUCCUUCGACGAGUCGAGUAGUUUGGGAAUGCUGCUCUAAAUGGGAGGUAAAUCUCUUCUAAAGCUAAAUACCGGCCAGAGACCGAUAGCGCACAAGUAGAGUGAUCGAAAGAUGAAAAGCACCUUGAAAAGGGGGUUAAAUAGUACGUGAAAUUGUUGAAAGGGAAGCACUUAUGACCAGACUUGGGCCGGGCGGCUCAUCAGGGGUUCUCCCCUGUGCACUCCGCCCGGCACAGGCCAGCAUCGGUUCUCGUGGGGGGAUAAGACCGUCAGGAACGUAGCACCCUCCGGGGUGUGUUAUAGCCUGGCGGACGAUACCCCCGUGGGGACCGAGGUCCCGCUCCGCAAGGAUGCUGGCGAAUGCAUCAUGGUCACC
rnacentral:rRNA from 1 species